CGGGAGUCAUGGUAAUCUCGUUCACCAUCUAGAGUACCACCACACUCAAACAAUUCCUUAUUAGAUAAAUCAAAGUGAAAAUCAAAAGAUGAAGAUAAAUAAAAGUGAAAGAAGCAAGCCUUCAUAGAAUCGCCCGUGUCGAGGUAAGGAUCGACAAAAUUUUUGACUUUGCAUUCUUUAAAGCUUGUGAAAUCUUCAUCUUUUUGGAAUUGUAGAGGUUGCGUUGGAAAAGUUGGGCUCUCGACUUCAAGGGGUUUGGAGAAUUGAUCCUCAUCUUCUUCAUACUCUUCUUCAACUUCUUGAGGCUCUUCACUUAGCAUCGGCAUUGGUUC
rnacentral:lncRNA from 1 species